GUUUUGUGUGGUAUGUACAGUUGGAGUUUUUGUUUCUGCACCAACAAUAUAUCCCUUUAUUGAAGCUACCCUUCGUAAGAGAGAAUUUUGUAAUAUUAAUGAUGGUGAGAUUCAACUACUUCAACUGUUAUACCAUUCGUGAU
rnacentral:pre_miRNA from 1 species